rnacentral:lncRNA from 1 species
AUCGUCGAUUCAAAAACCAUAUUAUCGAAAACGACUUAUAUAUAUAGGCUAUGGCUACUAUACUCUUAUAAGUAUAAAGUCCUUCAUACUCAUAAGUUGUUUUCAAUGAUGGAGCUUCUGAAUCGACGAUCCACUCCGUUAAAUAUGAUCUAGAGUAUUUGAAACUUCUAAAAAUAAAUUUCAUAAUUUUUCAAAAUUAUAAUAAAGUUCAUCAAGCGGGUAUAAAAUGAAAGGUCAAAAUCAAACGACGCCUUAAAAAUGGAUGAUCGGAUCCUUCAAUUUAAGAUCGGAAUUAUUAAUCUUUAUCUAUGCAGUGAAUAGAAUUUUCUAUUAAAAAUUCAACAGAUUUCGAUUCUUUUACAUCGUUCUAGCAAAUAUCCUAUAUUGGCCGUUAAAAUUUGUCAAUUUUAUGACCUUUUGAUCGUAAGGUAAAUGAUGUCGAAAAAUUAUAAAUUUGAUUUCUAGACGUUUUAAAUGCUCUAGAUAACGUUUAAUGGUGUGGAUCGUCGAUUCGGAAGCUCUAUCAUCGAAAACAACUUAUGAGUACGAGGGCGUGAUCGUACUCAUAAGAGUAUAGUAGUCAAACUAUAUAUAUAAUUAGGCUGAAAUACUAUUAAUAGUAUAUUUUGGCUCUUUUGCUAUCGAGUUUUUGACCCUUAGAUGAAAAAUUAUGUGAUUAGGAUGAUAGUAAUCCUCUACGUUUUAGUGGUGGUCCCCUGACUUCGUUUGGUUCGGGGUUAAGCCAAAAAUAGACCUAUGAAUGAAAAUUGAGUUAUUUUCGGGAAUAAAAAAAAUAUUGUUUGGAUAGAUAAGAUGGAAUAAUAAGAAUAGUGGAUAGUUGUAAAUAGAAAAUAAUGAUAUUUUCCCUUAUAUUUGAAUUUAAAAUUUUAAAAUUUAUAUUUAAAAUUUAAUAUUUAAAUAUAUAAUUUUAAAAAUUAAAAAAUUCAAAAUAAAAUUAUAAAUUCUAAAUCUCAAAUUCAAAAAUUUAAAGUUCUAAA